rnacentral:rRNA from 1 species
GACGAGGGGUCCUAGCGUUGUUCGGAAUCAUUGGGCGUAAAGCGUGUGUAGGCGGCCAUUCAAGUCAGUUGUGAAAUCCCCGGGCUUAACCCGGGAAGUGCUUCUGAUACUGUUUGGCUUGAGUACUGGAGAGGAUAGUAGAAUUCCUGGUGUAGUGGUGAAAUACGUAGAUAUCAGGAGGAAUACCGGUGGCGAAGGCGGCAUCCUGGACCGACAUUGACGCUGAGGAGCGAAAGCUAGGGGAGCAAACGGG